UCAACCAUUUCACUACAUGAUCUCUUACUGGCUGGCAUCACCUAACUGACUAAUUCAGUAACAAAAAGAAGUCAAAGGAAAAUAGCACGGAAGCAGCAGCAGAUAAAUGGCAUGAAUGGGACUGAAAAAGAGGCAAAUCUUUCUAUAACCGAAAGGUUUGAAGAAAAUAAACAAACUAACAACCAAGGUUCGAGUUCCACUUUGCCCAAUCACUAUUUUAAGCCUGAAAGUUGAACCAGAAGGAUAUUCAUCACAACCAUAAUUGUGGUAUUUCCAGUAAAUGAGGUGUAAAAGGGCCGUGUAUACUCUGAUGCAUACAAAUAACUUUUCUAGGGGAUGGAACUUAUUUCACUUUCUUUGUUUCACUUUUUCAAACCCUCAGAUUUUGGCAUGGAGGUUGAAUUCCACCGUUAAAACACCUGACUUUUGUGGAGUUUGAAAUUCUCUGUCUACACUUGAAUCUGACAGUUUCAAAUUACAGAAGCCUGUCAAAUGUGUGCAGUUCUUCCAUUUCUGCAGUUUGAUUGAUACAGUUGGGAGAAUUUUACCAUAAGAUGUAUAGAUGGCUGCAUAAUGAUAUGGAUACCAUAUAUUUAAAUGCUAUUAUCUGCUGUGACCCAUCCAAAAUAAUCUGGACCUGAAGUGCACUAAUGGAAUGACGUUGCUGCUGUUAUUAACCUCUGUGCUCUAUUGUGACUCACUAUCGCUGCAAAAUACAUCUGAAUCUUCAGGAUGACAGUGGGUAAGAACAAUUGCAGCCAGCCAUAGAUCUGAAGAAAACAGAUGGGAACCAUGGAACAGACAAGGAAAAGAAGUGGAGGCUCCUUGUGCAUUGACCUGUGCUUGGAGGGGUGGCAGCAAGGCACCACGCACCACCAAUGGACUAGAAGCAAUACAAAGCAUUUUUCCUGCAACAUUUAUCCAAGCCUGGUGUCCUACAAACUGUAAAGAAUAAGGAAGAAAACAUUUUCUUUUGGCCCCCAGCCAUUUCCCUCAGGCAGGACAACAUAGCUCACAUCAUGAACUAUGUGAACUGAUCCAGAAAGGUCCACGAAAAUAAAAAUGGA